UUGAACGCUGGCGGAAUGCUUUACACAUGCAAGUCGAGCGGCAGCGCGGGGGCAACCCUGGCGGCGAGCGGCGAACGGGUGAGUAAUAUAUCGGAACGUACCCUGUCGUGGGGGAUAACACAGCGAAAGCUGUGCUAAUACCGCAUACGACCUGAGGGUGAAAGCGGGGGAUCGCAAGACCUCGCGCGAUAGGAGCGGCCGAUAUCGGAUUAGCUAGUUGGUGAGGUAAAGGCUCACCAAGGCGACGAUCCGUAGCGGGUCUGAGAGGACGACCCGCCACACUGGAACUGAGACACGGUCCAGACUCCUACGGGAGGCAGCAGUGGGGAAUUUUGGACAAUGGGGGCAACCCUGAUCCAGCCAUUCCGCGUGAGUGAAGAAGGCCUUCGGGUUGUAAAGCUCUUUCAGCCGGAAAGAAAUUGCUUCUAUUAAUACUAGGAGUAGAUGACGGUACCGGAAGAAGAAGCACCGGCUAACUACGU
rnacentral:rRNA from 1 species